rnacentral:rRNA from 1 species
UACGUAGGGGGCAAGCGUUGUCCGGAAUCAUUGGGCGUAAAGCGCACGUAGGCGGUCCAGCAAGUCGGGUGUGAAAGCCCUCGGCUUAACCGAGGAAGUGCAUUCGAAACUACUGGACUUGAGUACUGAAGAGGAUCGCGGAAUUCCCGGUGUAGAGGUGAAAUUCGUAGAUAUCGGGAGGAACACCAGUGGCGAAGGCGGCGAUCUGGGCAGAUACUGACGCUGAGGUGCGAAAGCGUGGGGAGCAAACAGG